CUCCUCGAAGGUCUGGUUGAUCUGCAGGUGCUUCUGGGACAUGGCGUCCGCCAGGCUGCUGGCCGGGGAGGGACUCUGCAGUGGGGGGGCAUCAGAGCUCGGAGCCCCCGGCAGAAGGCUGUUACACAGGGCGCAGGCAAGCAGCAGGGGGCGAGGUCAGCUCUCAUAUGGAGGAAAAGGAGUCAGGACACCUGGGUUUUCUUCCUGGCUCUGCCUCAGACACCAUGGACAAGACGAGAGGUUUGAAGCAUGAUAGGAUGAACCCAGCCUCUCAACGGCCGAGGGAGAGAGUUCCAGGCCCCAGACUGCCCUUCCAGCUGAAAUAUUAAAAGACACACACCACUCGAAUCUUCUCCAAAUGGACACUGGACUCCACCACCCUCCUUGGGAGAAUGGAGGGGUCGGUUACAGCCGCCUGGACCAAAAAGCCUUUCUCCCCACAUCUGUUCAGCGGUCUGCUGUCCCCUCCCCAGAGGUGGCUGCAUUUUCAGGGGUGCAUUGAUGUUACUUCUGAAGUGCCCUGUGGUGAAGGGAUCAUCCUACAGAAUCUGUGUUGGCCUGGGCAGCCCAGCAGCUAAGAAGAAUCCCCAGAGUACAGGACGGUGCUGCUUGGGUAGCAAAGUCCCUGUGCCAGGGCACCAGCUGGGCACAGAAUCCACUCGAGGUGCGUAAUGAAAGAACCACGGCGCUCGGAGUGGGCCUGGGCCAGGCUGGCUGUGCAGCUGUUGGCACCUGGCAGCGAGAAGCGAAGAAGGGGACUGAGGGAUGAAGAGAAGAGACUCCAGGCAGCAGCUGAGCCUUGUGUCUACAGGGUCUAGCACAAGGGAGUUACGGUACCGCCGAAUAGAGACACCACUCACCCCACCCCCUCUGAGUCAGCCUGGAGUUCCCCUGAGGAGCGGGGCUUGUGACCGGGGAUUCCCACGCAGCCUGGCUGCCCAGAAGUGAGGGGUGGUGAGGAGAGCUCUCCUCGGAGAGAAGCCUUUGCCUGUGCGUGGCUCAGCCCCCGUGAAACGGCAGGUAACACAGGCUCCCCGCUGCUGUGUGCACAGAGUCUUCCCCUGCAACAGCACCAGCCCGUGGCAGCCACCUGCAUCCUCCAGUUCUGUUUGCCACCGCGAGGGAGGGCUGCAGGCACAAAAGUUUUUUCUAGGAACUGUUGUGGGGCAGGUCUCUGGGCUGUGCUAUGCAGGGGGCCCUUCUGGCCUGGGAAGCUAUGAACUUAUGAGCGGCGGCCCUGCCUCCAAAACCCUCCCCCAGCAGCUGCUCCUGGGCCAGGCAGUCAUGAGGUAACUCACCCCCACCAGGCUGAGUCCUACGUGACUUGUAACCUAACAAACCAUCGGCACUGGGGGGAAGGUGUUAAAUGAACUGUGCCUAAAAUCUACCAUCUGCCCGCUUCACAGAAAGCGGAGUGCCAGGAUCUCCAUUGCAGCGUGACAGCCCCUGUCUGCAUGCACCGUGCACUCUCAUGUUACCAGGGAUACCCCAGGCACCGCCCAGACAAAGCAACACCACCGCGGAGCAUUGACCGCCUGAGCCGCUUGGUGCAUUGAAAUGAGACCAAGAGACUGGUGGAAAACUGAAGCAGCAGCGGCAGCACCAGCCCAACCUGCCAUUAACUAGGGUGGGUCAGCUCCAUGCGGGAGCCAGAGGCCUGUCCCUGUCCCCGGAACAGGCACGGCAGGGUGGCACGCGUCCCUUUGCUGCCCUACCCCGUGCCUCUACACAGCUGCUGUAGGAAAACUCUGCUGCUGCCCUCCGUCCCGAGAGCCCCCUGCUAGCCCGUCCCUGGGCUCUUCCCUCUUCCCCUCGGUCUUUGCCAAGCCCCUCGCUCCCGCACGUUUGGGAUUUUUUGUAACCAAAAUACUCGUCUAUGUUCCGUUCUGCUUGAAGGGAACAGUAGCUUUGCAGUUUGCGGCUCAGUUCUGUUUUGUAAAGCUAAGACAAGCCCUUUGCUGGCCAGUGUUUAGAGGAGGCAGGCUGAGUGCUGUUAGACCGACACUCCAAUCUCCCCCCCGUCCCCCUGUAAAAAGAAUAGAGGCUUUGUGCUGAGCCGGAGAGCACACGCGAUUGCUGCCCUCGCCACAGCGUCAUCCCUGGGCCCGAAGUGCUAAAGCUCCUAAAACAACAGUCAGAGAUUGCGUCCCCCCUUCUCCCCCCCCAUUUAGUACGCUAGCACAGCGGGGCCCAGCGAGGUCAGGAAUGGAGACGCUCAGGCUGCGGCCCGCUCAGUCCGCCUGCCCCUGCCUUGCACAGAAUCACCCUACUGCCCAGGCCUAAGCAGAAGCACUGCCGUGUUGACAGACAGACCCAGUCUGUCUCCGACUGUUCCUCUCCUCUGAGGUGGCACAGGCCCCACCCCAAAGAUCUUCGAGGAGAUCACCCUGUUACAGCCAGGGGCGGCUUCCUGAGACAGGGGCCCCUUACCCCCUUUGGCUGGUAUCUGCACUACAGUUUUAAGUUGUCAUCAGCACGUCACUGUGCUCAGUGUUGCACAAGCCGCACGCUACAGAUGGCGCGCCUGCCCAAGGGAGCUGACAAGUGAGCCAGAUGGACACGGAGUAGGUGGGAGGAACAGGGAAGCCCAUGGGAGGAAUGAGUGGGGUCAUUUAGCAUUAAUAUUGUUGCCCUAAUUCCCUAGGGUUACUACAGAAGGAGGGAGAUUGUGGGAUUUGGCUUUUCCAGCUGGAAACAUAGUCACCAAUUUCUGAAUAGCUCUGCUGUGGUUUGUGCUCCAGAAUGUUUCUGCAGAGUUUGGUUUUCAAGCCCCUUCUGGCUGUUAUGGUCAGUCUCGGGGUGCAGAGAGAGCUCCCAGGGCACGGGUAACAGAGGCUCUGAACACCAGCCCCACUCAGUCUGUUGGCAUAGGUCUAAAGCAGUUUAAAGACUGGUGCAAUGCUGUGUGUAGACAAGCCCUGAAUCCCCACAGCCAGAAGAGUCUGGGUGCAGGAGCAGGGUCAAAAUGUGGGGAGCGAAAGGUACAGUGCAGAUGGUCCCUCCACCAAAAAGCUUCAGUUCCUUCUAUCAGGCCUCUGCCAGCGUAGCCGUGUCCUGAGCCGGGCCUGCUGUACACGGACUGGGAAUAAACAUCCGCAA